rnacentral:rRNA from 1 species
UGCGAAGGGGACUAGCGUUGUUCGGAAUCACUGGGCGUAAAGCGCACGUAGGCGGAUUCGUAAGUUAGGGGUGAAAUCCCGGGGCUCAACCUCGGAACUGCCUUUGAUACUGCGGGUCUCGAGUCCGAUAGAGGUGGGUGGAAUUCCUAGUGUAGAGGUGAAAUUCGUAGAUAUUAGGAAGAACACCGGUGGCGAAGGCGGCAUCCUGGCCAUGUCCUGACGCUCAGGGGCGAAAGCGUGGGGAGCAAACCGG